rnacentral:rRNA from 1 species
GACGAACGCUGGCGGCGUGCCUAAUACAUGCAAGUAGGACGCAGUUGCGAACGGGUGAGUAACGCGUAGGUAACUGCCUAUUAGAGGGGGAUAACUAUUGGAAACGAUAGCUAAUACCGCAUACUAGUAGAUGGAACUUCGUUGUGUUAGCUAGUAGGUAGGGUAAUGGUCUACCUAGGCGACGAUACAUAGCCGACCUGAGAUGGUGAACCGGCACAACGGGACUGGGACACGGGCCAGGAUCCUUCGGGAGGGAACAGGAGGGGAAUUUCGGAAAUGGGGGGAAACCUGGACGAGGCAAGGCGCGGGAGUGAAGAAGGUUUUCGGAUCGUAAAGGUCUGUUGAUAAGGAAGCGGUACUUAAACAGAAAGGGACGGCUAACUACGUGCCAGCAGCCGCGGUAAUAC